ACCGUUUGCCUUUGGUUCAGUGGUAGAAUGCUCGCCUGCCACGCGGGCGCCCCGAGUCCGAUUCCCGGCCGAUGGUU
rnacentral:tRNA from 1 species